ACGCCCCCGCGGCUUGCUCCCGCCCCUUGGCCCCAUGGGUGCCUCCGCUGGAACCCCUGGCCCGCCUGCGCGCGCGCCUUGCCCUGGGGCCUCCCGCCCCCUUUCCUCCGGCGUCCAAUCAGAUCGGGCGAGGGGCGCGGAGCCCAGGGAACGCGCCGUCGGCGGUCCUCAAACCCCAAGUGCUCGCCCAGCGGUUUCGCGAAGCUUUCGUUCGGCCACGAGUAACGUGACAGUAGUGGCCAGAAUCUUCAUUCUGCUUUAAGUGCUCCAGGCUCCUUCUAAGAGGCACUUGCAGAAGACUGCACAGUACCUGGAAACCUUCCAGUUUCACUUGUAGAAUUCAGCCUCACUUAUAAUUCCCUGGGUGAGUAUGAAACUUUAUCAGACUGCCAUAGAGCUGUCUGUUUAAAGGGUCUUAGUGAGCCAGGUUAGUUUAUCUACCAACUCUUCCAAUAUCAGUAGCAACUGUUGUCUUUGUUUUCCUGAAGUUUCUCGACAAGAAUUCUUUGGCAGAAUCCAUAAGUCAAGAAACUUUUUCCUGAAGGAGAAAAAUUUGGGAGUCAAGCAUUUCAUAUCUGGUAGGUCCUUGGAGUCAACCAGUUGUACUUUCAUAUCUUUCAUAAAGUCAUCUUUAAUUUAUGUAUUCCUAGUUAGGAACUCCACAUCAUCAAAUUUCCCCUAGCAUCUCUUCUUCCUGCUCAGCUAUAGUGAACUGUAAAGAAGAAUCUCCAUCCCAUUUUUUAGCCCUGAAUUCAAGUUCCUUCUUGACAUUUGCCAGUUCUGUUUUCAGUUCUGCAAUUCUCUCCAAGUCUGCUACCCUAGACCUGGGACAGAGAGUCUAUAUUGUUUUUAGAUUCUCUCUUAUUUCUUUUGUCAGUUGCCAAAUUUGAUCUUUUCCUCUUCCACCCACUGAAGGUUUGUCUCUCUAUGAUUUAGAAUUUUCCCAAACCCAGUGUAGUCUGCAUUUUUUGCAAUCUCUCCCCUAAUCCCUCCAUGGUCAGAAGAGACAGCACAGGCUACAAUUUGUACAUGUAAAUUAUGUUCUCUCUUCCCAAUAGUUCCAAAAAGGAGUGACAUCAAUUAUUGAAAAGUAAACAACCAACGUUAAUAAAAUUUGUGGUAAGGUUUAAAUAAUGUGGGUG
rnacentral:lncRNA from 1 species